rnacentral:tRNA from 1 species
GGAAGGGUGGGCCCAAUUGGUUUAANGCACCGGUCUUGAAAANCCGGCGUGGCCUGCNAGGGUACCCUNGGGGUUCGAAUCC